UAACACAUGCAGUCGAACGGUAACAGGAGAAGCUUGCUUCUUGCUGACGAGUGGCGGACGGGUGAGUAACGCGUAGGAAUCUGCCCAUCUGUGGGGGAUACCAGUUGGAAACGACUGUUAAUACCGCAUAAUAUCUGCGGAUUAAAGGCGGCCUUUGUGCUGCCGCAGAUGGAUGAGCCUGCGUUGGAUUAGCUUGUUGGUGGGGUAAAGGCCUACCAAGGCUACGAUCCAUAGCUGAUUUGAGAGGAUGAUCAGCCACAUUGGGACUGAGACACGACCCAAACUCCUACGGGAGGCAGCAGU
rnacentral:rRNA from 1 species